UUCUCUCUCUCUCUGUCUCCAGACCUUCGCAUCUUCCUUAGGCGCGGCGAGGCCGGGUAUUAAGCAAAGUCUUGGCGCCGCCGCGUCUUUGCCUUUCCCUUCCAGAUUGGCCAUGAGUUGAUGACUUCCGACGAAGCUCGUCUUUCAGAUUACUGGCCCUCACCAUUACCUCCUCAGCCAUCAUCUUCUUCUUCUCCCUCACUUUCAUCUUCACUUCCCCAACCGGAUACUCCUCUAAUCUCGGCAGCUUGGGUUUCAAUUCGGGUUCUUUUGGAUUGGGAUCCACAAGAAGGUCUGUGCUGGCUCUGAAAUCCGACCCGCUAAAGCCCCAACUCGAGAAAGCCAAGUUGGUCAGUAAACCGUCCCGAAUUAUCUUUCGCCGAUGAUCUCUUGUUGAACAUAUUGUUUUGUUCGACCAUGGUUGCCUGAAUCCGGCUCCUCAUGGAUUCUCGAUCUUCGAGUGCUUCUGCAAAAAUACCAACAACAGUCCGAUCUGGGUUUUAUGAAAAUCUAACCUUGUUGCUGAUCUGAGUUUUAUGAUGGUAAAUGGUAUUGUUGUUCAAAUUUGUAGUUGAUUUAGGCUUUUUAAUUUGUGAUGAGGUAGCCUCUUGCAAUUGCUCUGUAUCUAGUUUCUGUUGUUGUGAGAAAGGCCAGGUUGGAGUUUGUUGACUAAUUGCUUGUUUGUUUUGUCAAUUUUGAGUUUUA